rnacentral:rRNA from 1 species
UACGAAGGGGGCUAGCGUUGUUCGGAGUCACUGGGCGUAAAGGGUGCGUAGGCGGUCCUGUAAGUUUGGCGUGAAAGCCCCGGGCUCAACCUGGGAACUGCGCCGGAUACUGCGGGACUUGAGUACGGGAGAGGAUGGUGGAAUUCCCAGUGUAGAGGUGAAAUUCGUAGAUAUUGGGAAGAACACCGGUGGCGAAGGCGGCCAUCUGGACCGUUACUGACGCUGAGGCACGAAAGCGUGGGGAGCAAACAGG